rnacentral:ncRNA from 1 species
AGUGUUGCUAAGACGAGAAGAGUAUGCAGCAGGGACUGUCACAGAGAGCUCCUGUCCGGUGCAAUGGAGCACAGAAAGCGCUGCAGAAGAUGGACUCUGAGCAGGCGUGCCGAAUAGUCAGGCCGUCCGGUUGUACCCGUUAUCGUACUAUGGUAUUGAGGGCCUUAGGGCCUGCGUACCUGAAGAGGCUGUUUUCGUGAGGAAACAGUGAAAUUGGGUGGUAUCACGGUGCUUCCGUCCCUUAC